AGUAAGUUAUUGCCAGGGUUUUUAUUUUGUAAUUUAAACCUUAAAUUUAUUUUUUAUAUUUUUUUAAUGUUCAUGUUUUUGAAUGUUUUAUUCAAAUAAUGUAAAAAAUAAAAUAGAUAUUGACAUGGAUUGAACAAAAGAUAUAUAUUAUUUUAUGUUGCAUAAACAAAUUGGCAAAAUAGAGAUGGAAGAUAAAAAUAUGGUCAAAGUAAUAAGAGU
rnacentral:misc_RNA from 1 species